GGGGUGAGGCUGCGGAAUCCCGAGCCGCGGAUGGGGCGGGGAGGGAGCGCUGCUGGGACACGAUGGGGUUAAGCUGGGUCGGCCGCCAUUUUGGAUGCCGAGCCGCCUCGCUGCGGGAAGGUCUUGCUGUUGCCUCAUAUCAGAAAAACCUACCAGUGAAUAGCUGCCAGUUGAGGCUGCAUGCGGUUGAUCCUUCCAUCAUCUCUGCAUGUGUACAUAUCCCUACCAAACUCUGAAAUUUCUAUUCCAUAUGAUGCAGCACAGGUAAAUGGUUGUAAGAAUUGUUUUUAAACAGGCAAGCGAAACAUAAUCUUUCACAUUCUAGUUCUAAUAAACAGCUGAAGCAUUUAGUUGAAACUGUCAACUGAGAAAUGUCUGGUGUGAAGAGAGUUAGCCCAAAU
rnacentral:lncRNA from 1 species